UACGUAGGGGGCAAGCGUUGUCCGGAUUUAUUGGGCGUAAAGAGCGUGUAGGCGGCCUGACAGGUCUGCUGUGAAAACUCGAGGCUCAACCUCGAGAUGUCGGCGGAAACCGUCUGGCUAGAGUCCGGAAGAGGAGAGUGGAAUUCCUGGUGUAGCGGUGAAAUGCGCAGAUAUCAGGAAGAACACCUAUGGCGAAGGCGGCUUACUGGUCCGGUUCUGACGCUGAGGCGCGAAAGCGUGGGGAGCAAACAGG
rnacentral:rRNA from 1 species